AUGCAAGAGGGCACAAAAAGUGACAAAAAGCGGCACUUCCCUCAGAUGCGCACACAUGGCUUUAUCGCGCCCGCACAGAUUAGCAGCAGCGGGACACGCAGAGAUUCUGGGUGUGCAGGAAUGUCCCCAACAAAGGCUCGCUGCGCAGCUGCUCCUGCUGCAAAAGCCCGGGACGAGACCUGUGUUCCCACGGAAGAGGUCUCAGGAGGACAGCAGCUGGAUUCAGCCUCAAGAUCCCUCCCAGUGCUCAGCUAUCAUUUAAAGCGUUAAAAAUCCUUCUGCCCUGGCUCAGGCUCCGGAGGACUGAGAGCCCUUUGUGUGCAGUGCUGACACGGCAGCCUGGCCCGUGAAGGCAGGAUUGUACCGGGUCUGGGGGAGAGAGGGGAUAAUGAAUAAACCUCACUGUUUUCCCCCUGUAAUUCUCCA
rnacentral:lncRNA from 1 species